rnacentral:rRNA from 1 species
UACGUAGGGUGCAAGCGUUGUCCGGAAUUAUUGGGCGUAAAGAGCUUGUAGGCGGUUUGUCGCGUCUGCUGUGAAAUUUCGGGGCUCAACCCCGAACUUGCAGUGGGUACGGGCAGACUAGAGUGUGGUAGGGAGACUGGAAUUCCUGGUGUAGCGGUGAAUGCGCAGAUAUCAGGAGGAACACCGAUGGCGAAGGCAGGUCUCUGGGCCACUACUGACGCUGAGAAGC